rnacentral:rRNA from 1 species
CCUGGCUCAGGAUGAACGCUAGCGACAGGCUUAACACAUGCAAGUCGAGGGGCAGCACAGGUAGCAAUACCGGGUGGCGACCGGCGCACGGGUGAGUAACGCGUAUGCAACUUACCUAUCAGAGGGGGAUAACCCGGCGAAAGUCGGACUAAUACCGCAUGAAGCAGGGGCCCCGCAUGGGGAUAUUUGCUAAAGAUUCAUCGCUGAUAGAUAGGCAUGCGUUCCAUUAGGCAGUUGGCGGGGUAACGGCCCACCAAACCGACGAUGGAUAGGGGUUCUGAGAGGAAGGUCCCCCACAUUGGUACUGAGACACGGACCAAACUCCUACGGGAGGCAGCAGUGAGGAAUAUUGGUCAAUGGGCGUAAGCCUGAACCAGCCAAGUCGCGUGAGGGAUGAAGGUUCUAUGGAUCGUAAACCUCUUUUAUAAGGGAAUAAAGUGCGGGACGUGUCCCGUUUUGUAUGUACCUUAUGAAUAAGGAUCGGCUAACUCCGUGCCAGCAGCCGCGGUAAUACGGAGGAUCCGAGCGUUAUCCGGAUUUAUUGGGUUUAAAGGGUGCGUAGGCGGCCUUUUAAGUCAGCGGUGAAAGUCUGUGGCUCAACCAUAGAAUUGCCGUUGAAACUGGGAGGCUUGAGUAUGUUUGAGGCAGGCGGAAUGCGUGGUGUAGCGGUGAAAUGCUUAGAUAUCACGCAGAACCCCGAUUGCGAAGGCAGCCUGCCAAGCCAUGACUGACGCUGAUGCACGAAAGCGUGGGGAUCAAACAGGAUUAGAUACCCUGGUAGUCCACGCAGUAAACGAUGAUCACUAGCUGUUUGCGAUACACUGUAAGCGGCACAGCGAAAGCGUUAAGUGAUCCACCUGGGGAGUACGCCGGCAACGGUGAAACUCAAAGGAAUUGACGGGGGCCCGCACAAGCGGAGGAACAUGUGGUUUAAUUCGAUGAUACGCGAGGAACCUUACCCGGGUUUGAACGCAUUCGGACCGAGGUGGAAACACCUUUUCUAGCAAUAGCCGUUUGCGAGGUGCUGCAUGGUUGUCGUCAGCUCGUGCCGUGAGGUGUCGGCUUAAGUGCCAUAACGAGCGCAACCCUUGCCACUAGUUACUAACAGGUGAUGCUGAGGACUCUGGUGGGACUGCCAGCGUAAGCUGCGAGGAAGGCGGGGAUGACGUCAAAUCAGCACGGCCCUUACAUCCGGGGCGACACACGUGUUACAAUGGCGUGGACAAAGGGAGGCCACCUGGCGACAGGGAGCGAAUCCCCAAACCACGUCUCAGUUCGGAUCGGAGUCUGCAACCCGACUCCGUGAAGCUGGAUUCGCUAGUAAUCGCGCAUCAGCCAUGGCGCGGUGAAUACGUUCCCGGGCCUUGCACACACCGCCC